GGUAGCGUGGCCGAGCGGUCUUUAAGGCGCUGGUUUAACACUCCGGAGGCGGGGUCUGAAUCCCACGCUGCCG